CCUCUGAAGCAUGUGGAACUAUGCCCAGUGGGGAUUGUGCCCCUCAUUUCCAAGUCAUUUGGUACCACUCCGUCCUUAGUCCUCCCGAGAGCAGGGGGGCAGAGCUGAGCGGCAGCCCGGAGCUUGGCGGGAGGAGGCAACGGAGGAGGGGCAGGUGGGGAGAUCCGGCUGGAGGGGAGGCUCCGACGUCUCCUUCCUUCCUGGUUCCUGCAGUAGCUGCUGCAACUGCUCAGUUCUGUGAAGAGCUAGCCGGUGACUCGGAGACAGUCUCAGGCACAGCAGCGUACGGAUCAAGAGGCUCUGGCGUCCAUGGAUCCUGGGGGUUCCCCCAGGACAAGGUGACAUUCUCCCCAACCCACCCGGCCCUGCCGUCCUCAUCGGGGAGCAACUUCUUCCUCAUGGACUUCCAGGAAAGAGACACGCCCUCUUUGGCUGAGAGUACUCAGUCUUCAAAGCCCAGCAGUACCCAGCAGGCCUCGGAGCUGUGGGAGGUGAUGGAGGAGCCUCGGGGCAGGCUGGGAGCAGACGACAUCAUGCCUGAGAGACAGGAAGGACACCUGCUCAAGAAGAGGAAGUGGCCUCUUAAGGGCUGGCACAAGAGGUACUUUGUGCUGGAGGACGGGAUCCUACACUAUGCCACGACUCGACAAGAUAUCACCAAGGGGAAGGUCCACGGCUCCAUCGAUGUCCGGCUAUCCGUCAUGUCCAUCAACAAAAAGGCCCAGCGCAUUGACCUCGACACAGAAGACAACAUUUACCACCUAAAGAUCAAAUCUCAGGACCUGUUCCAUAGCUGGGUGGCCCAGCUUCGAGCCCACCGCUUGGCCCAGCGCUUGGACAUGCCCAGUGCCACUCAUCGGAAGGCUCCUGGUACCCAGAUGCUAACAGCAGGCAGUGCUUCCGCCUUACCUGGGGUUGGACCUCGAGAGAAAGUGUCAUCCUGGCUGAGGGACAGUGACGGGCUAGACCGAUGUUCUCAUGCACUCUCAGAAUGCCAGGGUAAGCUGCAGGAACUACACAGACUCCUUCAGAGCCUGGAGUCCCUACACCGCAUCCCCUCUGCCCCCGUGAUCCCUACACACCAGACCUCAGUGACGACCGAGAGACCCAAGAAAGGAAAACGAACCAGUCGCAUGUGGUGCACACAGGGCUUCGCCAAGGAUGACACCAUCGGACGGGUUGGCCGUCUCCAUGGCUCUGUUCCCAACCUAUCUCGUUACUUGGAGUCUCGGGACACUUCUGGCCCCCGUGGCCUGCCACCUCCAGACUAUGCCCAUCUGCAGCGCAGUUUCUGGGCUCUGGCCCAGAAGGUGCACAACUCCCUCAGCAGUGUCCUGGUUGCCCUCACCACAGAACGGGACCGACUGAGAGACCUGCACCAGGGCUCAGAGCUGUCAAGGAUGGUAGUUUCUGAGGCCCCGGAUGGUCAGAGACGCCUCCACUCACUCUCCAUCUCCUCAGACACCACGGCAGACUCCUUCAGUUCCCUGAACCCGGAGGAGCAAGAAGCUCUGUACAUGAAAGGCCGAGAGCUGACCCCCCAGCUGUCGCAGAGCAGUGUGCUGUCCCUCGCCGACUCCCACACCGAGUUCUUUGAUGCCUGUGAGGUGCUCCUCUCUGCCAGUUCUUCCGAGAAUGAGGGUUCUGAGGAGGAAGAGUCUUGUGCUAGCGAGAUCACCACCAGCCUGUCUGAGGAGGUGCUGGAUAUCAGGGGAGCUGACCGCUAUCAAAAAGCAGUGGAACUGUGCUGGCUGGGUGGUUCUCAGCCCUGCUGCCCACGCACAUCCCCAGGAUAUCACAAGCAGUCAGAUGCCCCAGUCACCUCCCAUAGCGGGCAACGCUGGGAUGCCUUAGGAGGGCCGUGUGUUCCAGGGAUUGCUGUGGGACCUCCUCGCCGCCGCUGCCUGCCAGCUGCCAGUGGGCCUGGGACAGACGUGAGCCUGUGGAAUAUCCUCCGCAACAACAUCGGCAAAGACCUGUCCAAGGUGUCGAUGCCUGUGCAGCUCAACGAACCGCUCAACACACUGCAGAGGCUCUGCGAGGAGUUGGAAUAUAGCAGCCUCCUGGACCAGGCCAGCCGCAUGGCCGACCCCUGCGAGCGCAUGGUGUACAUCGCAGCCUUUGCUGUCUCUGCCUACUCCUCCACGUACCACCGGGCGGGAUGCAAGCCCUUCAACCCGGUCCUGGGAGAGACCUACGAGUGUGAGCGGCCUGACCGGGGUUUCCGUUUUAUCAGCGAGCAGGUCUCCCACCAUCCUCCGAUCUCCGCGUGUCACGCAGAAUCUGAGAACUUCAUCUUCUGGCAAGACAUGAAAUGGAAGAACAAGUUCUGGGGCAAAUCCCUGGAGAUCGUGCCUGUGGGGACAGUCAAUGUCAGUCUGCCCAGGUUUGGGGACCACUUUGAGUGGAACAAGGUGACGUCCUGUAUUCACAACAUCCUGAGUGGCCAGCGCUGGAUCGAGCACUAUGGGGAAGUGCUUAUCCGAAACACACAAGAUAGCUCCUGCCACUGCAAAAUCACCUUUUGCAAGGCCAAGUACUGGAGUUCCAACAUCCAUGAGGUACAAGGUGCGGUGCUUAGUAGGAGUGGCCGCGUCCUCCACCGCCUCUUCGGGAAGUGGCAUGAGGGGCUGUACCGAGGCCCCCCACCGGGUGGGCAGUGCAUUUGGAAACCCACUCCUUGCUUCCCCCAGAUUCGAUGCCUCCAGACCAUGAGCGAAACUUCGGGUUCACUCAGUUUGCCCUGGAACUGAAUGAGCUGACGUCAGAGCUGAAGCGGACCCUGCCUUCCACUGACACACGGCUCCGACCUGACCAGAGGUACCUGGAGGAGGGGAACAUACAGGCUGCUGAGGCCCAGAAGAGAAGGAUAGAGCAGCUCCAGCGAGACCGGAGAAGGGUGAUGGAAGAAAAUAACAUAGUCCACCAGGCGCGCUUCUUCAGGCGACAGACAGACAGCAGCGGCAAGGAGUGGUGGGUGACCAACCAUACUUACUGGAGGCUUCGAGCUGAGCCAGGCUAUGGGAACCUGGAUGGGGCCGUGCUCUGGUAACCCUGGCCUUGGGGCAGGAGACUCAAGGUCCUCGCUCCUGCUCCAACUCCUGUUAUGGACACAUGGGUGAGGUCAGGCUCCCUCGCCGUGCCCUUGAGUGCAAAGGGGCAGCCUAGGCUCUAGCCCUUUCCUCCUCUGCUGGCCAGAGGGGCUAUAUCUCAGCACACUCCCGUCCCAACGCUGGGGUGAAAGUGGACUCGGAACGGGAAUCCGUGCUUUCCCCGUCUUGUGACCCCAAAUCUGGCAUGUCAGACCCUUCUCGCUCAGCCAUCUUCCUCAUCUGGGAGUGUUUGGGAGAGAUGCCAGGUUCCCCAGACCUGCUCCCCAUUUCAGUGCCUUCCUUGGACACAGAGGGCCCCUUGAUGCUCCCCAGACUUCCCGUGCCCGGGGCGCUGGCUGUGCUGUAAGGUUGGAGUGAGUGAAGGAGAGGAGAUGCCCCCUUCCCGUCUGUUUGUCCUCUCUUCCAGCAUCUUCCCUGUGCCCUGACCCAUCCCCUUGUCCUGCAUCCCCUUCUCCCAAACGGCAAAGCACCCGCAGCUUCAGCUCCUCCGUUCCCUGCUCCACCAGUGGUCCCUUCAGGCUCAGCUUAGCAGAAGUCCCAAGAGAUGGGGAGCAGUCUGGGGUGCCUGGCCUCAGAUUCACCCAGGAGGGAGUGAGCCAGUAUGAGUGUAAGUUUGUGUAGGAGUGUGAGUGUGUGUGUCCUGCUUGCCGGCGAGCGGGAUUCCUAAUGUAGCCAGGACACCUCCGCUGCUGCUGGUGUCUGUCACUCUGUUGCUGCUCAUUUUCUCAGUUUGCCUGAGUCAGGUGAAUUGCUCUUACAUUCCAAGCUCCAAUAAAGACUGUCCUAGACUUUG